rnacentral:rRNA from 1 species
UGGGGAAUAUUGGACAAUGGGGGGAACCCUGAUCCAGCCAUGCCGCGUGUGUGAAGAAGGCCUUAUGGUUGUAAAGCACUUUAAGCGAGGAGGAGGCUCUCUUGGUUAAUACCCAAGAAGAGUGGACGUUACUCGCAGAAUAAGCACCGGCUAACUCUGUGCCAGCAGCCGCGGUAAUACAGAGGGUGCGAGCGUUAAUCGGAUUUACUGGGCGUAAAGCGUGCGUAGGCGGCUUUUUAAGUCGGAUGUGAAAUCCCCGAGCUUAACUUGGGAAUUGCAUUCGAUACUGGGAAGCUAGAGUAUGGGAGAGGAUGGUAGAAUUCCAGGUGUAGCGGUGAAAUGCGUAGAGAUCUGGAGGAAUACCGAUGGCGAAGGCAGCAAUCUGGCCUAAUACUGACGCUGAGGUACGAAAGCAUGGGGAGCAAACAGG